AUUGAACGCUGGCGGCAGGCCUAACACAUGCAAGUCGAACGAGUGGCGGACGGGUGAGUAAUGUCUGGGAAACUGCCUGAUGGAGGGGGAUAACUACUGGAAACGGUAGCUAAUACCGCAUACCAUCAGAUGUGCCCAGAUGGGAUUAGCUUGUUGGUGGGGUAACGGCUCACCAAGGCGACGAUCCCUAGCUGGUCUGAGAGGAUGACCAGCCACCCUGGAACUGAGACAAGGUCCAGACGCCGACGGGGGGAAGCAGUGGGGAUUAUUGAACAAUGGGCACAAGCCUGAUGCAGCCAUGCCGCGUGUAUGAAGAAGGCUUUCGGGUUGUAAAGUACUUUCAGUGGGGAGGGGUUACCCGCAGAAGAAGCACCGGCUAACUCCUUGCCAGCAGCCGCGGUAAUU
rnacentral:rRNA from 1 species